rnacentral:rRNA from 1 species
UACGUAGGGGGCAAGCGUUGUCCGGAUUUAUUGGGCGUAAAGAGCGUGUAGGCGGCCUGAAAGGUCAGCUGUGAAACUCGAGGCUCAACCUCGAGACGUCGGUUGAAACCAUCUGGCUAGAGUCCGGAAGAGGAGUGUGGAAUUCCCGGUGUAGCGGUGAAAUGCGCAGAUAUCGGGAGGAACACCUGUGGCGAAAGCGGCUCACUGGACCACAACUGACGCUGAGGCGCGAAAGCUAGGGGAGCAAACAGGG